AAAUUAUCUGCACUUUCUACAAUUAAUUAAGGUUAUACAAUAAAUGAGAGGAUUAAUGUGCAGUUUGGUUAUACUGAAACAGCCCAAGUCUACAAGGGUGUGGUCUUUCCUGGAUUAUAUUCUUGAUUUGCUGUUUCGUCUUCGCCUUGUAACAUCAUGCAGUUAAUUUUCAACCCAUGAGCGAGAGCAACUGGAUAUUUAUUUGAAUUCCACCGAAAUAAGAAAUUCUCUGCUACAGUAUCCUUUCUGGAGUUGGUUUACUUUUCGCACCUGUACACUUUGGAAUGUUACGUGCUAUAAUUAAUUAAGGUCGACGUUGGAGAAGACAAAGAU